rnacentral:rRNA from 1 species
AUUGAACGCUGGCGGCAGGCCUAACACAUGCAAGUCGAGCGGAUGAAGGGAGCUUGCUCCUGGAUUCAGCGGCGGACGGGUGAGUAAUGCCUAGGAAUCUGCCUGGUAGUGGGGGAUAACGUCCGGAAACGGGCGCUAAUACCGCAUACGUCCUGAGGGAGAAAGUGGGGGAUCUUCGGACCUCACGCUAUCAGAUGAGCCUAGGUCGGAUUAGCUAGUUGGUGGGGUAAAGGCCUACCAAGGCGACGAUCCGUAACUGGUCUGAGAGGAUGAUCAGUCACACUGGAACUGAGACACGGUCCAGACUCCUACGGGAGGCAGCAGUGGGGAAUAUUGGACAGUGGGCGAAAGCCUGAUCCAGCCAUGCCGCGUGUGUGAAGAAGGUCUUCGGAUUGUAAAGCACUUUAAGUUGGGAGAAAGGGCAGUAAGUUAAUACCUUGCUGUUUUGACGUUACCAGCAGAAUAAGCACCGGCUAACUUCGUG